CAACAACAAUCAAUAAAUGGACAUUCAAGUGGAUGUCGACAACAUCCUCUACGGACUUUCAUCAUUGAUCCUGUCUUCAAGUUUUGUUGGGGAAAAGUGUUUAGCUGUCUGGUGAUGUGUGCAUCGCUACGUGCUCAGGUGCCAGAACAACAUGCUUCCAGAAACAUUAGAACAAGGCGAGCUGAGAGCCGCGAGGCUAAGAAACUCACCCCAAACCACAGUUAGUGUGAGCGCACCAUUUAGAAGUUAUAGUAUCUCCACUGUGGGCACUGAGCGCAGAGCAUCUGGUCUAUGGCAGAGAAGACACCAUGUGAUCUGUCCCUUAAUGGUUGCAGUAUUUUCAUGUUUAUGAAACACAUUACACAUGCGUUAUAAUAAGGGAAAGCUUUGCCAUUGUGGCUGAUGCAUAGGCUCAUUAUUAAAGUUGCUUGCAGGCUACCUUCGAUUGUUCAGUGACUGAGUGAGUGUUGAUUAGGACUCGAUGAGGCUACAAUCUGGCCUUAUUCUACCUUGAUGGACAAUGUGUGGGCUUGUUGGUGAAUGGUGAUGUAUACCUCAAAAUUCUGCCAUUAUUAUAAAUAUAAUUCAAGGUUGGAGUUAAAACAAAGGGAAUGAUACUAUGCCUUACAUUAAGUAUUACGUAUUCAACAUUGAUGUAUUUGCUUUUCCCCUUCCUUUAUAUCUUGCUUUCAGUCAAAGGCAAAGAUAUCUUAUGCAUUUUGGAAGGAAAUUUUAUUGUUUUGAUUAUUAAAUUAAAGCUUUGGGGGAAAAAAGCA